UGGGGAAUUGUUCGCAAUGGGCGCAAGCCUGACGACGCAACGCCGCGUGGAGGACGAAGACCUUCGGGUCGUAAACUCCUUUCGAUCGAGACGAAUGGCCUCCGGGUGAACAGUCCGGAGGAAUGACGGUACCGAGAGAAGAAGCCCCGGCUAACUCCGUGCCAGCAGCCGCGGUAAUACGGGGGGGGCAAGCGUUGUUCGGAAUUACUGGGCGUAAAGGGCUCGUAGGUGGCCAACUAAGUCAGACGUGAAAUCCCUCGGCUUAACCGGGGAACGGCGUCUGAUACUGGAUGGCUUGAGUUUGGGAGAGGGAUGCGGAAUUCCAGGUGUAGCGGUGAAAUGCGUAGAUAUCUGGAGGAACACCGGUGGCGAAGGCGGCGUCCUGGACCAAAACUGACACUGAGGAGCGAAAGCCAGGGGAGCAAACGGG
rnacentral:rRNA from 1 species